CCAACUGCUGCUGCAUGGGGGUAAGAACCUACUCUAAAGAAAGAACAAGACUCCUGUACCGACGUUCCUCAUCUAGCCAGGUAGGCUUGUGUAGCUCUCAGCUACAUGAGUUGGACUGUCUCUCAGGCCUACUUACUAGCUGCCCCAUGCUCUCAGAACUUCAGUGUCUUCUGUAUUCUCAGCUCUUGACAGCCUUGCUCUAAUAUUAAUCAUUGCCAACUAAUUUAAAUAUUCACUGUAGUUACCUCCAAUCAUUUGUAUAGAAUUACAGAAUUUGCAUGAUCUGCUCUUCUGCUCAUAAUCUUUUUUUUUUCCCCUUUUUAGGGCCACAUCCUCAGCAUAUGGAGGUUCCCGGGCUAGGGGUCUAAUUGGAUCCUACAGCACUGCAGGAUCUGAGCCGUAUCUGGAACCUACACCACAGCUCACGGCAAUGCAGGAUCCUUAACCCACUGAGCAAGGCCAGGGAUUGAACCUGUAACCUUAUGGUUCUUAGUCAGAGUCGUUUCCGCUGUGCCAUGAUGGGAACUCCCUGCUCUUAAUUUUGAUUAUCCUUUAAACACAUAUUUUUGCAGGAAGCAGUUUUACCCUCUACCACUAUUACAAAUGGCAGAAAUAUCUCAUUUUUCUGCCUCUGAGAUUUAGCAUAUGCGGUCCCCUCAAGUCAAUUGCAUUCUUUCCCAAAUAACUUCAUGAUUCAUUUCCUCACUUCAUUCAGUCUCUCUUUAAAGGACACCUUCCCCAAGAGAUCUUCUUAUACAACACAUCUCAAUAACCCCCAGCCUGAUUACCAUAUCCUCUUACCCUCUCUUAACUUUCUUUUGGCACAUGACAUUAUAUAUAUACAUUUGUGUAUGGACUAGUUGACUGUCCCCCACAGUGGAGUGUAAGCUCCAUCAGGGCAGGACCUUUGUGUGUCUCAUUCACUGCAAUAAAAACAUUUGGCAAAUAGCUAAGUGCAGAAUAAACAUUGGUUUAAUUAAUGAGUAAAUAACUCAAUGUGUGGAUAGUUUCCUCUUAUAAUAAACACCUUUUUCACAGUUUUUGAUGAAGACUGCUUUAGGAAAAUCAUUUCCCAUUUUCUACUGCAUAUUAAAUAAAUGAAAUUAUUUUAAACCUGAGUUAAUUUCAUGAGCUAAUACAUUUAGCUAUAAACCAAGGCUAAUAACAAAUGUAAUUGCUAAAAUUCUUUUAACUAAAAAGAAUUGCCUUAGGAUACUUAAUGUUGUCAUUAAUAAUUUCACAAGAGUAAGUUAAAGCUCUGUGGCAUGGUAGGAAUGCCAGAUAUUUAGAUCAGAACAAUUAAGUCUGAGUAUACUAACACCAAUACAUUUAUUUAGUUACGUUCUUUAUUUUCCAGUGAGAUAUUUGAAAGAUCAAUACUAGGUGAAACACAGAUUUAAUCUCUUCAGUUAUUUGUCAUUUUUAGAUUAGAUUUCACAAACUAUUUUUGAUAACCCUCUAUUAAUCCUCCUUAUUCCUAAAGUGUCAAGUGGAAUAGUGAGCUCUCAUGUCCCAUUUUUAAAAGCUCUGCGGGAAAUAAAAUGUUUUGACUCUUACCAAGCAGUAUUGAGUCAUUCUGGAAAUAUUUCUAUGGAAAGUGGGUGGGAGUGGAAAUGCAUUCAAGUUUUGAGCAGAAAGAAAGUAAAGAUAGGUGAGGGAGGUCAUAGGACUUACUACAUACAUUGUACUUUAAAAAAUAGAAGACAGAAAUUUUAGAGCAAAUAGUCUGUAUCUUCCUAUGUUUCCUCAUAUGCGAGGUGGUGUACCAGAGUGGCUGAGUAUAACUAAUUUGGUUGCCUGCAUUUCACUGCUAUCUCCACUACUUACUGGUUUUGUGAUAUCCGUGGGAAGUCUACUUUUCUUUGCUCACCUAUAAUAGUAAGUACCCCAGAGAAUCAUUGUGAUGAUUAAAUAAAUUAAUGAAUGUAAAACAUUUAGAACAGUGUCUGGUAUGUAAUAAAUAUUCAGUAAGUGUAAUAAGUGUUUGCCAUAUUUCAUUCUUCUUCAUAAAUGAGGUUGGAAAUCAAUGGAAUGAGCAGCAAAGAAUUUAAGAAUGCCAAAAAGAGUAAUAGCUAAAUACAAGCUGCUUAUUAAAUAAGCAAAUGGGGAGAUCCUUUAUUUUCAAUAAUAAAUUAAGCAGAAUUUUAAUCUUUCCAGAGUAACUGUUUCCUGAUUGAAGCCAGUAGACCAUGUAAUCUUAGAAGCACUUUUGUUAGUGUGUGUUUAUAGUUAGGUGCACAAAUCUCUCAAUGAGAAAUAGAUCUUGAAACAUAAAUUUAAUAAGAUAGACAAUAUAAAAGAACAUUUUAACGUAUUAUCAUGUCAUUAAAAUCGAGAAUCAUUUUUGAGUCUCAAAAUCAUUAACAAAAGCAAUUAAAGUGACAAGAGCCUUGAAACUACUGUGUGUAUAUUAAAGAAAUAAUAUUUCUACCAUAAAAAUUUCUUUUUAGGAUCUGGUGACUUGACCAUAAAAACUGUUUCAGGGCUGAAGGCUGGCAUAUGUUGUGUUCAUUUGAUGCAUAAAUUGCUUUCCAUUGGCUAGAAAUUUUCAUUGUUAUAUUUUGAAAAGCAGGAAAAACAUGUUUUACAUUUCUAAUUUAUUAAAGUAUAAUGGAAAGUACAGUAUUCUUAAAAUGGAAAUUUUUGUUUCAGAAAUCAUGAUUAAAUUUGAAGACUGCAAGGCAACACAUGCACAUAGACUUAAUGGGAAUUGUAGGUUAUAAUUAACUUAGCGAUAGCAUGUUAUGGCAGAGGAAAAAACUGAAGGCCAAAUAAGACAUGUGGUAAAUAGUCAUUGGUUGUGCUAACACACCACAGGGGCUUCAUUAGGGAUAAUAACUGUGCUAUUCCUUUUGUAAAAUUUAUAAAAUUUAAGUGCAAUCAAUUAGAAUUAAUCUCAGAUUCAAGUAAAAAAAUGCAAAUGGAUUUCUGCUUUAAAAACAUAACUUCUUGAUAUUACAAGUUACAGAAAUAUGUGUGCUAAAGAGAAAAUGUUCAGAGUUUAAGCCAGAAUCAUACUGAUUAACCCAGUGUGCCAUUUGGGUAAAUUAUUGUGUUGGAAUUAUAUACUGAAAUGCCUGAUCGUAAUCAGAACAGGAUUAUGGAUAUUGAAAAGUAUUUAUUUUCACUCUAAAGUAAAUUUUUGCCCAAAUUACCCUUAGUGUAGCACAUUAUGUGGAUAUAUUAUAUGUGUGUGUGUGUGUGUGUGUGUGUGUGUGUGUGUAUGUUUACAGGUUUUGGGGUAGGAAUUCUUAAGUCAGAUGUUCUGGUGAUAAAUAUAACUUUCUACUUGUUGACUGAACCACCUCUGUUUUGAACACCCACUCUGAUUGACGACUGAUAAUUGACUCUAAUCAAUUAUAGGUAAGCUCUAACAAUUCAGUAUUUUUCAGUUCAGUUGUAACUGGUUAAAUCAGAAACAUGUGAAACUUCUUCCCAUUAUGGUUUUCCCAUUGUUGAUGAUGGGUAUGGUAUAGCCUUGAUUUAUACUGCCAAUCCAAGAUAGAGCUCAUCCUCAGGUCUUUAGUUGUGAGCAUUUAGUUCCACUGGCAUCUGAGGUCAUGUUUAAGGCCCAACUGUGCCUUUUAUUAGUUGGCUUGUGGAUUCUUUUGACUAUUUGAAGGACUUUUCCAAUUCCUCCAGCCAUCUCAAACUAUCCCCUGUAACACUCUCAAGGAAGGUGGUGAGCAUAGGCAAAUUUCAUUUGCACUUUCUCCCUUUUUUGUGUCUGUGAGAGACUUAAGCACAUGGGAGUCCAGGGACUUACUAAGAUUAUGCCUGCAGGAAUACUGUCACCAUUUCUAACUCCUUGGCAUUAUAUAAUGUUGGUUUUAGAGACCUCUCUCUGAGGCUUGGUAUCUUCCUGGGUUUCAACCAGAAAGUGAGGCAAAUUUAUCUGUCAUAUUUUAAAUCCUUGGCCAAAAUAUCUGGAAUUUCUGCUAUCUCCUAUUAUCCCUUACCAUGUGGAUAGGUCCACACUGGGUCAAGUAGAUUCAGGUUGCUUUCUUGGAUAACAUGAGAACAUUUAAAACUCUGCUCGAUACUCUUUAUUUGCUCGCGAUACUCUUUAUUUGCUCCUCUGGAUCCAUUUCUGCACCAUUUACAGUCGACGCUGAGAACUAGAAGUCUGGGUUAUUUGGAGAAAGUCUGUGGGAACUUGCUUUCUGAGUGUUAUCUCCUAAUGGGGGCACCAGUAAGAGAGUGGAGGGUAGGAAGAGAGUGACACUAGGGUAUUUAUAUUCUCCCAUUUUACUCCUACGAGGUUGCUGAAAGUUAGAACUCCUAUCAGAUGCCUGUCUUCUAGGGCUGUAUCUCAUUUUUCUUGGUUCUGCUAACCUCUAUAUCCCCUUAAAUCAUCAGGCUGUGGUGGCAACAGCUCCCCUUUUGGUCAUUCUCAGAAUGUUUCACUAAUCAUUUGGUUUCCCUUAAACCUACAUACAUGUUGUGAAUCAUCUCUUUUUUUUAGCUCUCCACAUUAUCAUUUUAGAAUAUCUUCCUUUUGAUAAUAGCACUUUGUAUUGCAGUGUAUUUGACCCUUGAACAACAUGGGUUUGAAGUGCCUGUGUCCAUUGACAUGGAAAUUUUUUUCCAAUAAAUAGGGCCCUGAAGUACUACAUGAUUUGUGGGUGGUUGAGUCCACAGAUGCAGAACUGUGGACAAGGAGGCCUACUGUGAAGUUAAUGGUGGAUUUUUGACUUUGCCAAGGUUGGCAUCCCCUACCUUGGCGUUGUUCAAGGAUCAGCUGUAUUUGAUGGCAUACGUGGUUAUGGUUUCAGGAAACUGAAAUUCAAAUUAAGAUUCAGAAAUUGGUUUUCCUCACAUAGCUAAGGACCACUAGUGAGCACUGCUCACAAGAGAUAAAUGUAACAUAUUAAUCUGAGUCAUGUAUUUCAAUUAUUACCAGUGGUGGCAUGAGAUGAAGUCUAUGUGAAAAGUAAUGUGUUGUGAGAUAAACUGGAUUUGUUAACUAGUAACAAUAGCAAAUAUGAUGAUUAUGAAGGCUGGAAGAUCAGUUGACUUUUCAGAUGAUCCUGAGUAAUACAUAACUGAGAGCCUUGAACAAUAAUUCAGAACAUGGGAGGAAAAUCAGAAAUCUUCUAUGUUAGUUUUCAAGGAACGCUUCAUCACCUAAAGUCUCAGGGAACGUAUCGCUAAAGAUCUAAACCUUGCCCGCAGAGACCAAAGUCGCUACCAUAUGGACUAGGUUAAGAAAUCUACUCAGAACUUUUGGACUUUACUAGGUCCUGCUUCUGAAAUGAUUCUUAUCUCUGGAGACUAAAAAUGCCACCAAAAUAUACUAGUCAAAGUGAGGACUAGAGAAAUCCCUGGUGACAGAUGGAACUUGGCCUCCUUUCUCCUUCUACUGGAUUCAUGUGACCAUAUACCAAUCAUGUGGUUAUUAACCUAAUCCUAGAACGUACAGUACAAAUGGAUAUACUUAGUAUUUAGUAGAAUCUCCACACUGAUACUAUGAUCCAUGAAGUGAGAGUUAUUAUGUUAUAAAAGACAAGUGGAAGGUUUAUCCUGAGUCUUAAAAUCUGGUAAUGUCAUUUUUUGAUUUGUCGAAUUUAUUGUUGCUGUUGUUUUUAAUCUUUCCCUUUGUUUCUGCCUUAUUUUGAGGUUUAAUUGGGCAUUUUAUAUAAUUCCAUUUAUUCUUCUCUUUUAUAAUAUCAAAAUACUUAAUUUUUAUGGGUUUCCAUAGAGUUUGCAGCAUACAUUUAUAACUAAUCUAACUUUGCUUUCAACUAAUUCUAUACUACUUCCUGGGUAGGGCACUGUGAAAAAAGUAUUGUUAUUUAGUUUUCCUGUAUCCUCACUGGGUGUUCCAUCUAUUUCUUGACAGGAUCCCUACUAAAGAAAACAGGUUCUUUUCUUUCUGACUCUCAUCCUCAUGUCCUUCUUGAUUAUCAUGACCAUCUUAUCUGGUUCACACUUCACAGGAGAUACAUGGAGUAAACAAUAAUUAAAUAUCUAUUUGGAGAUAAGCUUUUAUAUUUCUGCAUAAAACAGGCUCAGUCAGUAAUAUGUUGUGAAGAGCACUGAUUUUAGUUACAAUUUUUUGUGAAUAUUGCUCCAUUAAUUACUAAUUGUGUACUGGGCCAGUCAUUUAACUUAUUCUAGGGCUAAUUUCAUUUAAAAGCGGGAGGUAAUAUCUAUCCAACAGGUAGAUCUGAGUAUAGGAAUGUACACACAAUCACAUGUGGCAGUGUUCAAUAAAUAAAUUAUAGCAUACACAUUAUAAUUUACUAUCCAGAGCUUUUCCAGAGAAAGCAAAACACCAUUUAAUAAACCUAGAAAUUACAAAUGAUCCUUCUCAUUGAUCAUAGAUAGAUCCUUGAGCAAAGAUAAGAGAUUCUCUUUUUUUCCUUUUCCUAGUGUUUUCAAAGAAAGCUAAUUCAUGAGACCUGCUCAUGAUAUGUAUAUAUGUAUGUGUGUAUGUGUCUAUUUAUCUAUUUAUCCAUUCGUCUAAAUUUUUAAGUGACUCACUUUGCUGAUAGAACAAAGCUUCCA
rnacentral:lncRNA from 1 species